rnacentral:rRNA from 1 species
UACAGAGGGUGCAAGCGUUGUUCGGAAUUAUUGGGCGUAAAGAGCUCGUAGGCGGUUUGUCGCGUCGACUGUGAAAACUGGGGGCUUAACUCUCAGCUUGCAGUUGAUACGGGCAGACUUGAGUUCGGUAGGGGAGACUGGAAUUCCUGGUGUAGCGGUGAAAUGCGCAGAUAUCAGGAGGAACACCGGUGGCGAAGGCGGGUCUCUGGGCCGAUACUGACGUGAGGAGCGAAAGCGUGGGGAGCGAACAGG